rnacentral:lncRNA from 1 species
AACCAACCACCACCAAUUUACCAAAAUAGGAAUACACCAAUGGCAAACACCACUAAACUUGUGAAAAUAGAAAAUAAACCACCUUUUCCCCCUCAUGGCCGAGCAUUAUAGAGCAGCUUAUGGAUCUGAUUUAUGUCAAAAAUAAACAGCUCAAAAUCUAUCCAAAAUCAAGCCAAAAAUCGAACUUUGCCGUAAUCAAACCUAGAAAUUUCAAAUUUUCAAAUUUAAAAUCCAAAAUUUAGAAGCUUAUUAUUAUAACUAAUUAUAGAAAAACUCUCACUACACUAACUCAAGUUACUUUUUAAUCAAAUCACUAACUCAAGUGACUUUCUAUGAAAUUAACUAAAUUCCAACUAGGUAUUUCGGUGAUACGAAUGUUGAGAACUAGAAUGAAACAAACGAAAUAAACAAAACCUGUACAAGGAACAUAAGCAUCAGCUACCUAAUCUCCUCUUCUCAACAAAUCUGAUAAAAAUGCAAUUCUACUGCUAUUUCUGGCAACCUUGAUUCUCCUAGUCAGUCAUUGGAUUAAAUUAAUGCUCAAAACUUGUACGGUAUGAAAUAAUUGUAUAAAGAGGAAAUUAUCCUUAUCAAAAGGGAGAGGAUAUACCUCGCAAUUCGUAGAGAAAACGCAGUUCUUGAUUGGUAACAGUGGGUGGAUGGGAUUAUAAAUAGUAACUCGUGGUGCAAAAUUGACAUGGUGGCACUAGAUUUAGAGAAUAGAAUACGUCGGGAGGAAGGAAUCAGAACAACAGCAAGUUGGUUAUAGAAAGUGAUCGGAUCAGAAACGAAAUGUAUAAAAAGAGACACGUGAAACAAAGGAGAUUCUCCAAGUUGGUUUCUCACCAGUUCUCUGAGAAUGACUUAAAAAUUGCAUACAGUACUAGAUGAGUCAUGUAUGUCAAUCUGUCAUUGAAAUACUAAGAAAAAUGCAUCUCUGAAAGUAGCUCCAGUUCUCUCUGCUUACUGAAAUUGUACAUGAGAAAUUCAUAAAAAAGUAACUCAGUGUAAAAGUUGGUGAAUUCUGUUACCUCUUAGCAACAAAGGAAAAGAACUGAAAGACUGAAAAAGCAAUGCAUUUAAAUGGAAAGAAAAUAUUUACCUGACAAAUAAAAAAUAAUAGGUAGAUCAGAAAUAAUACCCAAUUUUCCAUAGUAAGAUAAAACAUUUCAUAGAAGGUGAAGAGCUCAAACAUUUUUGAGGUAUUGCAAUACAGGGCUUAUAAUUUAUAAAAUCCCACUAGCUUCACAGUUCCACGUAUUUGGUGUGAAGUAGUGGCUAGCACCAUGAAUUGUCUAGUAGGCGCAGUAUCUAACAUCAUAUAUCUUUUUUCCAACUCAACAAGCACAAAAAAGAUCUAUUUGUGAAGCACGCAUGUCUAGCAGGAAGCGCUAAAAAACAAGACAAACAUACAGCAAAUCUCACCUGGGACAUCAAAUUGGCAGUCUUUAGCUACAUUAGUGCUACAACACACUCAUCUGUCUCAUCUGCCGUCAUAACAAAGCCCAGAACUAAGCAUCUCUGCAGUCAUAAGUGUAUAUGUCAGAAAGAGAAAGAAGACGGGAAAUAAAGUGAACUCAAGAAGAAAUGAGAUGAGAACAAAGUACAACUAAAUAAGAGUUAGUGAUGGCAUAUUUUCAGGAAAAGGACAGCUAGGUCCCACCACAACUAUUAGCCGUAAACAAAACUCAGCACACGAGUUUUUAGCUGUACCCUCCACUAUAUAUUUGUGCACCCAGUUCAGUUUAGGAACCAAGUUUUGAAAAAUAACUCCCACUUCACCAAGAACAAAUUCCAGCAUCAUGUCUGUCAACUGUGUUGAGCCAAAACCAGGGAUGACAGAACCGAUGGCUGUGCUUGCGUAUCCAGUACAACCCGAGUCGAAGUCUGCCAUCCAACUGAGAGUAUUUCCUAUAGCUUUGAAGGUCACUCUCCCUUGCCCAAUUUCAAACACUUAAUGUUUGUUAGUGAUAUAUUACUACAGGGAUUGAUCAUAGUUUAGAAAGAUUUAACCCAAGUUUUCUUUUUGGCGUUUACAGUUCGAGGAGGUGGUCUACAAAGUUCAACUGGAAGAUAAAGGAUUGUGUUCAGGAGGUACAUGUAAGGAGAAGACUAUAUUGAAUGGGAUAACAGGACUGGUUCUCCCUGGGGAGAUCCUAGCUAUGUUGGGUCCAUCAGGCAGUGGUAAAACAACUCUCCUUACUGCCCUCGGAGGCCGGCUCCACGGCAAGUUGUCAGGAAAGAUGUCAUACAAUGGACAGCCCUUUUCAGGUGCCAUAAAGCGACGCACAGGAUUUGUCGCCCAAGAUGAUGUUUUGUAUCCACAUCUAACUGUUACCGAAACUCUCAUGUUCACUGCACUGCUAAGGCUACCGAAAACCUUAACUUGGGAAGAGAAAGCACAACAUGUGGAACGAGUCGUCGUUGAGUUGGGAUUAACCCGCUGCAGAAACAGCAUGAUAGGCGGCCCGCUUUUUCGAGGCAUAUCAGGAGGAGAGAAGAAGAGGCUGAGCAUAGGUCAAGAAAUGCUAAUAAAUCCAAGCUUACUACUACUAGAUGAGCCGACAUCAGGUUUGGACUCGACCACAGCUCAGAAGAUUCUAACAACGAUCAAACGGCUUGCUAGUGGGGGGAGAACAAUAGUCACAACCAUUCACCAGCCCUCUAGUCGGCUAUACCACAUGUUUGAUAAGGUAGUUUUGCUCUCUGAAGGCUCUCCAAUCUAUUAUGGUCCUGCAUCAGCUGCCUUGGACUACUUUUCUUCCAUUGGUUUCUCCACUUCCGUGACUGUCAAUCCAGCUGAUCUCUUACUUGAUCUCGCUAACGGUAAUUUUUUUUUAAAGAUUCCCGUUGUUGAUCUAAGUAUUUCUAUCCAACCAUAAGUAUGGCUCUUGUUCAUAGGAUAAUGAAAACUAACGUGCAGUGAGGAAGAGAAGAAAAGCUUUCUUAGGUAAAACAUCAUAAAAAUCUUUUAGUUUAUGGGACCUCUUAGGCAAGGGCAGUUCCCUACUUUUGGUGGUGGUUAAUGGGACCUCUAACUCAUGACUCUCUAAACGACUUCCUGCUCUCCAAUAGUAAUAUACUGAAGAAAAAUGAUUCUCAAGUGUACUGAUUUUGGUCUAGAAGGGUAGUUUAGUAACUGUUGUCUUUUUUUCACCUAAUUUAUUUAUUUAAUUAAUAUAAUCUACAAACAAACUCGGAUUUGAAUAAUGUUUGCUCUAAAAAUUUAGUUUUUCAAAAACGAUUUAAACAUGCACAGUUGUGAUAGGGGUUUGACGAAUUUUUUUUUCUUUUGAGGUCAAACAUGUGAAUUGACCCGCCUCUAGACUUAAUAUGUAGUGAGACACCUAAUUUUGUCUUACUGUGAGACAAUAAACCUUUUCAAAUCUGAUAGAACCCCCACCCUAAACCCUUCCAAGGAAUAAAAAUUCAAGCUUUCUUUAUACAGAUACAAAAUUCAAGCUUUGAUAUCUAUAAUCAACACGUAACUCUGUACAGUUAAAUUUACAGGUAUCCCUCCCGUCACUCAGAAUGGAAGGGAGCAAGGUGAGAGCACAGAAAAGGAGCAGAAGCAGGUGAGGGAAACUCUUAUUUCUGGUUAUGAGAAGAAGAUUUCAACAAGUCUGAAAGCAGAACUCUGCAACCUGGAUAUCAGCAACUUCGGCUACACAAAAGACACCCCUUCAAGUAAGCAUUCUUUUGAGCCCGCUCCCUUAUCUGAGUUUCAACGCUACUCCGAUGGAGCUCUAACUUUCAAUAUAUUGGAUAAAACGUAUAGGAAUGAACAGCAAGUCAGAAGAGUGGUGUACAAGCUGGUGGCAUCAGUUCAAGGUCCUACUUCAGAGGGGUUUGAGGGAACGAAGGUUCGAAGCAUUUAACAGGCUGAGAAUUUUCCAAGUCAUCAGUGUUGCAGUACUUGGUGGGCUCCUCUGGUGGCAAACCCCAACAUCUCACAUUGAAGACCGGGUAAGAAUUCACACCACAGAAUUGUUAAGUAAAUUCUAUAAAAACUAUCAGGCUUAAGCCCCUUAGUUUCUUAAGUGCUGAUAACUUGCAUGACGUAACAUGCAGAUAGCAUUGUUGUUCUUCUUCUCGGUAUUUUGGGGAUUCUACCCUCUCUACAAUGCAGUUUUCACAUUUCCACAAGAACGACGGAUGCUGAUAAAAGAACGAGCUUCGGGAAUGUAUCACCUCUCAACCUACUUUUUAUCCAGAACCAUUGGUGACCUUCCAAUGGAGCUUGCACUCCCUACAGCAUUUGUUUGCAUAAUUUAUUGGAUGGGUGGGCUUAAACCUGAUCCCAUAACUUUCAUACUGUCCCUGAUUGUCGUUCUCUAUAGUGUCUUAGUCUCCCAAAGUCUUGGAUUAGCGAUUGGUGCUAUUCUUAUGGACAUAAAACAAGCCACUACGUUAGCUUCAGUUACAACUCUGGUAUUCCUCAUUGCUGGUGGGUACUACGUGCAACAAAUACCUCCAUUUAUAGUUUGGCUCAAGUACUUGAGCUACAGCUACUACUGUUACAAGCUUCUACUUGGAGUCCAAUACAAAGAAGAUGAUUAUUAUGAAUGUUCCAAGGGAGUGUUGUGCCGGGUUGGGGAUUAUCCAGCCAUCAAAUCAAUGGGGCUAGACAAUUUGUGGAUGGAUGUCUGCAUUAUGGCCUUGAUGUUGGUAGGCUAUCGACUCAUUGCUUAUUUAGCACUUCAUCGAGUACAAUUGAGGUGAACUUAGCUACCCUUGAAGAGUUUUGUCAUCUUUCAACAGCAGAAUAAUGUCUAAUGUAGGCUGGGGGGCAAAGGCACACUAAGAUUUUGAUAUAUUUUGCCUCCAAUUAAUGUACUUGGCCUAUCUGUUAUACAUGGAUUUCCUAAUCCUAAGUUAGGCACCUUGUCCUCCAAAUAUUCUGUGGAACUGUUCUCUGAAUAUUUGUUGGAGGCAAGGAUCGUUCCAGAAGACAAAAGGUCACUUUUUCCCCCUAAUGGCUUUCAGUCAAGGCAUCACCAAUAUAUUCGACUAAGGAAUAAUGAAGGGAGUUAAACAAUCAAACAGCAAGUGAUAGUGAUAGGCAGUAAGCUGUCAAAUGGAAGACAAAGCAAGAUUCCACCCUUUCAAUCAAUAAAGACACACAAGGCAUAGCAAAUGGAGAGAUAUCAAAACUUGACUCUCCUGAGAGAGCAAAUACAAACAGUAGUUAGCUAUCCGUACCUGUUUCUCUUGUAAAUGAACUCUCGCUGCAGAGUUUCAAACAUUGCUGCUCUUGCAAAUUUGCGAUUGAAAGCUUCAAAUCCUGGGGACCAAGAACCGUUGAAACUUAGGUAAUGGGACGAAAAAACUUCGCGCCGAGUUUUUUCGGUCAUGGGAUGGGAGCUCCGUUUCAGGGGAAAAAAAAUCGCUCACCGAACCACAAAAUUACGACGAGCUAUGUUAAGAUAGUAAUGCCAAUCGGAUUGAGCUUCUUCAUCGUCAGAGUCUCUAAUGGUAGAACAAGAAAGGAGAAAGGACCGGCGAACUAUAGCCGCGAGAUUAACUUUUCCAAUGGGGUAGAGUACAAAAAAUAAAAAAAUAAAA